UACGUAGGGACCGAGCGUUGUCCGGAAUCAUUGGGCGUAAAGAGCGUGUAGGCGGCUUGUUAAGUCUUGCGUGAAAUCUCGGGGCUCAACCCCGAGCGGUCGUGAGAAACUGGCAGGCUAGAGUGCGGGAGAGGAGAGUGGAAUUCCUGGUGUAGCGGUGAAAUGCGCAGAUAUCAGGAAGAACACCCGUGGCGAAGGCGGCUCUCUGGAACGCAACUGACGCUGAGACGCGAAAGCUAGGGGAGCAAACAGG
rnacentral:rRNA from 1 species